rnacentral:rRNA from 1 species
AUUGAACGCUGGCGGCAGGCCUAACACAUGCAAGUCGAACGGUAACAGGAAGCAGCUUGCUGCUUCGCUGACGAGUGGCGGACGGGUGAGUAAUGUCUGGGAAGCUGCCUGAUGGAGUGGGAUAACUACUGGAAACGGUAGCUAAUACCGCAUAAUGUCGCAAGACCAAAGAGGGGGACCUUCGGGCCUCUUGCCAUCGGAUGUGCCCAGAUGGGAUUAGCUUGUUGGGGGGGUAACGGCUCACCAAGGCGACGAUCCCUAGCUGGUCUGAGAGGAUGACCAGCCACCCUGGAACUGGGACACGGUCCAGGCUCCUAAGGGAGGCAGCAGUGGGGAAUAUUGCACAAUGGGCGCAAGCCUGAUGCAGCCAUGCCGCGUGUAUGAAGAAGGCCUUCGGGUUGUAAAGUACUUUCAGCGGGGAGGAAGGGAGUAAAGUUAAUACCUUUGCUCAUUGACGUUACCCGCAGAAGAAGCACCGGCUAACUCCGUG